GGAGAAAGAGUCGCUAAGGGAUUAUUAUGAUAGGUUGUUUAAGACGGCGACUGAAAUAGAUGAUUUGUCGGAGCGUGAAAGGAUGGUGGCAUUUCAGAGAUGAUUGAAAGACAAAGAUCUGAUAAAGAGCCUCCUAGUAACACCUCCAACGAGCUUUGAUGACAUGAUGACCCGAGCACGGCACGGCAUUUCAUGACCGUUGAGGAGUCGCUGCGGGGAAGACAAAAGGACAAAUAUAAAGGGAAGGCUAUAGCUAGAUCGGAUGGAUGCCAACACUGGUCAAAGGCGUUCAAUAUUGAAGACCUUACGCCGUUGAAUGUUUCAAGAGCAACAGUCUUGCCGAAGAUUGAACGAUUGAACCUGGUAAGUUUGCUAGAAAACCCAACUAGACGUGUGCUUGGCAAAGAUAAAAACAAAUAUUACAGGUUCCAUCAAGCCAUGGACUAUUAUACGGAGGAUUGUGUAGACUUAAAAGAGACGUUUUAAAGGUUCAUUAGGGCAAGCUGCUUGCAGAAAUUUGUAUUCACCGGUUGGCGAAGUAGGCGCCAUGAUCCUCAGAGGGCUAAUCCCCCAAAACGUCGCAAAGAUUCGCAGAGCCGCACUCUGCCAGGAUGGGUCUCUCAGGAUCGGAUGGCUCCAAAUCAUCCUGGUCAAAAGAGGCGUGAUGUAGGCGGUGAUCACUAGGAAGAUCACAUGCGAUGGGAUUUCAACGGAGAACGAGGAGAUUUUAGGUGCGGAGUUAUUCAUAUGAUCUUUGGAGGUCUCGCUUGCGGCAGAGAAUCCUUGAAUGGCAGGAAGAGGUAUGCAAGGCAAGUCAUGAGGGUGAAGACGAUGAGGAAAAGGCCCCGAGAUGAAGACCCGAGCAAGUGUAUAAGUUUCUCGGAGGCUGAUGCCGCCUAUGUAACAUAUCCGCAUGCCGACGCCUUAAUUGUCACUGCUACGGUCUGAGCUUUCGACUUGAAGAGAAUUCUGGUGGACAGUGACGGUACAGCUGACAUCCUCUUCUUGGAAACAUUGAAGCAGACGCAGUUAAUAGAGGGGGACUCGAAGCCGGUAAGAACCCCACUGGUAAGUUUUACUGGGGAUAUGGUAGAGUCAUUGGGAAGAAUCGACUUGCCAGUGUGGUUUGGUGAAGCUAGCAAAUUGGCAAGUGUGAUGGUCGAUUUCCUUGCCAUUAAUCUCAAUGGCACCUAUAAUGCCUAGUAGGAAGGCCGACAUUGAAUAAUCUGAAGGACAUCCCCUCGACUUACCAUCAGAAGAUGAAAUCCCUAUGCCUGACGGAAUAGCCAAGGUAUGUGGAGAUCAGGUCGCCGCGAUAAAAUGCUAUUAACUAUCGAUGAGAGCUUCCACCAAGGCCAAGCAUGUGCUAGCAAUAGAGAGUGGCCUAUAAGGAGACACCCCUCGCUUGGAACCGGCGGCAGAGACAGAGGAGGUGAUGAUUGAGGAACGCAGGGUUGUGCGAAUUGGGGUUUUCCUGGCAGAUCUUGAUAAACAAGCACUUCGCGACUUGCUGGUGGAUGACAAAGAUCUUUUUGCAUGGAGCUCAGCACAUAUGCUAGGUAUCGAUCCAUCCAUUAUAACUCAUAAGUUAAAUAUUGAUCCUGAUUCAAAGCCUAUAGUUCAAAAGCGUAUAGUGAUUUGGGCAAAGAAAGAAAAGAGGCUGUUAAGGAAGAAGUAGUUAAGUUGAAGAAAGCUGGUUUUGUUAAAUAAGUAAGAUUUCAUACGUGAGUAGCCAAUAUGGUAUUAGUUAAAAAAUUUAACGGAAAAUGGAGAAUGUGUGUCGACUACACAGACUUGAAUAAAGCUUGUCCGAAAGAUACCUACCCAUCCCAGGAUCGACCAACUUGUAGAUUCGACUGCUGGGAAUGAAUUAUUGAGUUUUAUGGAUGCCUACUCUGGCUACAACCAGAUUCGCAUGCACAAAAGCGAAUAAGUUCAUACUGCCUUCUACGCAGGAGUAUCGCUACAAAGUAAUGUCGUUUGGCCUUAAAAAUGGUGAAGUCACAUGCCAGCGACUUGUUAACAAAGUGUUCGACAAACAGCUUGGCAAGAACAUGGAAGCUUAUGUCGAUGACAUGAUAGUUAAAUCUACUAACAAAGUUGAACAUGUAGCAGAUUUACACGAGGCAUUUCAGCUCUUACGAUGAUAUUAGAUUCGACUCAACCCCCCAAAGUGUGCUUUUGGUGUCAACUCGGGAAAGUUCUUGGGCUUUUUGGUGACGGAAGGAGGCAUCGACAUAAAUCCAUAAAAAAUAAGAGUCAUCGACGAAAUGUCCUCGCCUUGCAUAACGCAAGAAGUUCAGUGGUUGACUGGAAGGCUCGCAGUUUUGAGCAAGUUCAUCGCCAAAUCAGAUGACUGCUGCCCAUCGUUCUUCAAAGUGUUACAUAAAGCGAAGGAUUUCUUGUAGACACCAGAGUGCGGGACGCGUUUCAAGAGCUAAAGGACUACUUGCGACGAGUUUCUACUCUGGAAAAGUCGGAAGCAGGGGAAGUGUUGGCUAUCUACUUGGCGGAAAGUGAGAAUGCGAUGAGUUCUCUAUUGAUGCAAGAAGAAGUCGUUGCAGUGAGGAAGCUACGCCCUUAUUUUCAGAGCCAUCAAAUUUUGGUCCAAACUGAUCAACCACUAGGUCUGAUU